rnacentral:rRNA from 1 species
CCUACGGGGGGCAGCAGUAGGGAAUCUUUCACAAUGGGCGAAAGCCUGAUGGAGCAACGCCGCGUGCAGGAUGAAGACCUUCGGGUUGUAAACUGCUUUUAUAAGCGAGAAAUAUGAUGGUAACUUAUGAAUAAGGAUCGGCUAACUACGUGCCAGCAGCCGCGGUCAUACGUAGGAUCCGAGCAUUAUCCGGAGUGACUGGGUGUAAAGAGUUGCGUAGGUGGCAUAAUAAGUAGCUAGUGAAAUCUGGUGGCUCAACCAUUCAGACUAUUAGCUAAACUGUUAAGCUCGAGACCGUUAGGGGUAACUGGAAUUUCUAGUGUAGGAGUGAAAUCCGUAGAUAUUAGAAGGAACACCAAUAGCGUAGGCAGGUUGCUGGGACGGUUCUGACACUAAGGCACGAAAGCGUAGGGAGCAAACGGGAUUAGAUACCCGAGUAGUC